UGCAUCCAUGCCAGCUCCACCCCGGGAUGUGAGUGUCUUCCUGAACUGGUUACCAUGGGUCUGAGCCAUUUAAAAUACUUGUCCCCGAGGGCCUCCUGGGCAGUGGGCACUGGGACAGCAUCAUCGAUCGAGCUUUGAGGAGUGGUGGUGGAGAAAACCAAGCUCCGAAAGGGGAGUGGGCGGCUGGAAGAAGCCACUUAGCCACAGCAACGUGCCCUUGGAAGGUCGCAUCAGGGCCUCGGAAGACCUUGCGAAAACGCUCCCAAGAGUUGGCCCGAGCCAUCUGCCGGCCCAGAGAUCAGAGGCCGUCCUAGGACAGGUCAGCCAAACGGGGCCAUUCUUACCUCCCAUCUGUCCUCAGCCUGACCUGUCAGAAACUGAGUCUGAAAGCUGAGGCAAGGAGCCAGUCCAACAGGGGAGGAAAGGGGACAAGCCACCCAUUCCCAGGGCAGCAACACCAGGAAGGGGGCCCAGUCGUGGCUGCUACUGGCAGUGCAGGGAAAUUUAUUAGGCUCGCAAUUUUGAUUAUGGUCGGGGAGUUGGGCAUCUUAGUUGCAAUUUAGGCCAUCAUAGGAGACUGUACUCCCCUAAAGGCAGCCCUGGGGCAAGAACCCCCACUUUUAUCCAGGGGGAGAGGAAGGCCUAUGGCCACUGCAAAGGUUGAAAGGGACAGGGGGGCUUUGAUGACUAUCACCCAGCACCAGGUCUGCCCUCUUUCCCCACUUAUAUGGGAAAUUAAAUUACUAGACAAAGAAAUUCUAACUUGUAAACCUCUCCCAGUUUCCCACCCCUCUGGCUAACCCCCGAGUAUAUGUGAGGGGGGAUCACGUGUGAGAGUAACGUACUAUCUUUUUAUUUUUAAAUUUAAUUUUAGCAUUUGGAGCCUAUAAUGGAGUAGCUUGUCUAAAUUAAACAAGACUUGUUCAUGAAUACUCGUGAGUGUUUUCUAAGCCCACUGCCACUUGUCAUUUUAAAAACAGGUGAAAAUAGGGACUCUCUUUACCUAAAUUAUUAAGGUCAAUCAAUAACACUAAAAAGCCUUUGUGGAUCACACUAUCAAGACUUGGUUACCUAAGGAUGCUUGAAAAAUUGAGGAGAAAGAUAAGCAAGAAGGGGACAUGGAGGAAGAGAGGAGCGGAUUGAACGAGGUAGAGAAUUUUACAUUGUGAGCAGAAUAUACAUUUCCCCGUAAACUGUGAAUUGGUUUAUUUCUGAGAAGUAGUUCCACUGCUAUUUACAACACUGAUUGUUGAAGUUUCAGGACCUAAAAACAGAUACUCUUCAAAUGCCUUCAUCCCUGAAGUUCUUUUGAAGCUUCUGAAAACCUGGAAAUGCCAACUGGGAGAGACUGGUGUCCGUCAAAGGAGAACACAGUGAUACUACUGGGAAAAGGCAAGGUCAGAAAAGUCAGGGAAUUUUGAUAUGGUCAUUUGAUGGUUAGGUUAGCAAGAUUAUUCUCCUUAGUAAUCAGCAAUAUUUCUGAGUUGUAGUAAUGAUGUGUUUUUAUGGGUCUCCAUUUCCUCUCUCAUCUUUAAUUAAACACAAGACACGCAUCAAAUUCCCAAUGCACUGAUGAACACAGCCUUUGUUUGUUUAAUGGUUAAGCCUCAACAGAGAAAAUUUCUGCUGUACCCCCAGUGACCCAGUCACUGUAAAUCAACUGCACCCUACUAAAAAAUAAAUUCAAACGAAAGGACGCACAGAGACAGGAGAAAUGUCAUGUGCAUGCCUUUGUUUUCACGUCCGAACGACGAGCACAGGUAAAAGGACCGUAGAGCGCAGUGAGGAUGACCACCGGCAGUUCCAAAGGAGUUUUGAGGAGCCAUGUGCCGACAGAGCAGCGGCUGCAUCCACUUACGCAGCCCCUUAGCAGCAAACGUCACGGAAGGGACCGCACGUCUCAGAAAACCGACAGGCCUCCGAAGCAUGCCUGUGUGGAUGGGUAACACAGACAUAUCGGCAGAACUUUCGGUGUCAAGAGUGGAGGACUGAGAUCAUUCUUAUAAAGGGGACAACAGCCCUCUUCAACUUUGUCUGGAGAAGGGAUCGACGUGAGCCCAUUACACGGUCUAUCAUGCCCUCAAAGUGCCCACUCCUUCAGUGACGAUGCGAGAAUCUGCCUGUCGACUGAGGCCAAGUUGGAGUAAAAACAAAGGGCUGCGUGUGUGGCUCACGAGAGCUCCCAGGCUAGGGGU